CUACGGGAUGCUGCAGUGGGGAAUAUUGCACAAUGGAGGAAACUCUGAUGCAGCAACGCCGCGUGGAGGAUGACACUUUUCGGAGCGUAAACUCCUUUUAUAUAGGAAGAAGAUGACGGUACUAUAUGAAUAAGCGCCGGCUAACUCCGUGCCAGCAGCCGCGGUAAUACGGAGGGCGCAAGCGUUACUCGGAAUCACUGGGCGUAAAGAGCGUGUAGGCGGAUUAAAAAGUCAGAAGUGAAAUCCUAUAGCUUAACUAUAGAACUGCUUCUGAAACUCUUAAUCUAGAAUAUGGGAGAGGUAGAUGGAAUUUCUGGUGUAGGGGUAAAAUCCGUAGAGAUCAGAAGGAAUACCGAUUGCGAAGGCGAUCUACUAGAACAUUAUUGACGCUGAGACGCGAAAGCGUGGGGAGCAAACAGGAUUAGAUACCCUAGUAGUC
rnacentral:rRNA from 1 species